UUAUACUAUUUUUCCGUUAAA
rnacentral:piRNA from 1 species